rnacentral:rRNA from 1 species
GAUGAACGCUGGCGGCGUGCCUAAUACAUGCAAGUCGAGCGAACAGACGAGGAGCUUGCUCCUCUGACGUUAGCGGCGGACGGGUGAGUAACACGUGGAUAACCUACCUAUAAGACUGGGAUAACUUCGGGAAACCGGAGCUAAUACCGGAUAAUAUAUUGAACCGCAUGGUUCAAUAGUGAAAGACGGUUUUGCUGUCACUUAUAGAUGGAUCCGCGCCGCAUUAGCUAGUUGGUAAGGUAACGGCUUACCAAGGCGACGGUGCGUAGCCGACCUGAGAGGGUGAUCGGCCACACUGGAACUGAGACACGGUCCAGACUCCUACGGGAGGCAGCAGUAGGGAAUCUUCCGCAAUGGGCGAAAGCCUGACGGAGCAACGCCGCGUGAGGGAUGAAGGUCUUCGGAUCGUAAAACUCUGUUAUUAGGGAAGAACAAAUGUGUAAGUAACUAUGCACGUCUUGACGGUACCUAAUCAGAAAGCCACGGCUAACUACGUG